rnacentral:lncRNA from 1 species
CGCUGCUAGCUCGGCUGGGGACCUGGGGUGAAGCGAGGCGAGCGGAGCCCUGUGUGGGCACGAGCUCCUUCGGUCUCAUGAGGAAGAAGAAGCAAGUUAAAAAGAAAGAAAACAAGGUACAGGAAGGAUGACAUGUGGGGCUAUGAUUUGGGGUAAUAAUGAAAAUUCACAAUGAAAACUCUCCUUUUUGAAGCUGGGGUGCCAUU